rnacentral:sRNA from 1 species
AGGAUGUCAAUACCAAAGAAGCUCAACAACUGAUAAAUUUCAACGAUCUUUCGGCAAUAAUAGGAGAAAAUUCCACAUUGAACAAAGUAUUUCCCAAGUUGUGGUGAUCACUCCUAAAUCGGGAUGAACAAGAGAAAAUGUCUACAGUUUAUUAUAAAUU